rfam:Sorghum bicolor cultivar BTx623 chromosome 1, whole genome shotgun sequence.
AUCCCAUGAUGAGGACAUUCUUCAAUGUAAUUCUAGAAUCUUUCCCAUGCUUCAGUGAAUGAUUCAUCAUGUUGUUGUUGUUGGAAACUUGAAAUCUUCCCACGCAGAGCAU